rnacentral:rRNA from 1 species
ACACGUACCUAACCUACCUUUAAGACUGGGAUAACUAUUGGAAACAAUAGCUAAUACCGGAUAUAGUUAUUUAUCGCAUGAUGAGUAAUAGAAAGGAGCUUCACAGCUUCACUUAAAAAUGGGGGUGCGGAACAUUAGUUAGUUGGUAGGGUAAUGGCCUACCAAGACGAUGAUGUUUAGCCGGGCCGAGAGGCUGUACGGCCACACUGGGACUGAGAUACGGCCCAGACUCCUACGGGAGGCAGCAGUAAGGAAUUUUCCACAAUGAGCGAAAGCUUGAUGGAGCGACACAGCGUGCAGGAUGAAGUUCUUCGGAAUGUAAACUGCUGUUAUAAGGGAAGAAAAAAUAGAAUAGGAAAUGAUUUUAUCUUGACGGUACCUUAUUAGAAAGCGACGGCAAACUAUGUGCCAGCAGCCGCGGUAAUACAUAGGUCGCAAGCGUUAUCCGGAAUUAUUGGGCGUAAAGCGUCCGUAGGUUUUUUGCUAAGUCUGGAGUUAAAUGCUGAAGCUCAACUUCAGUCCGCUUUGGAUACUGGCAAAAUAGAAUUAUAAAGAGGUUAGCGGAAUUCCUAGUGAAGCGGUGGAAUGCGUAGAUAUUAGGAAGAACACCAAUAGGCGAAGGCAGCUAACUGGUUAUAUAUUGACACUAAGGGACGAAAGCGUGGGGAGCAAACAGGAUUAGAUACCCUGGUAGUCCACGCCGUAAACGAUGAUCAUUAGUUGGUGGAAUAAUUUCACUAACGCAGCUAACGCGUUAAAUGAUCCGCCUGAGUAGUAUGCUCGCAAGAGUGAAACUUAAAGGAAUUGACGGGAACCCGCACAAGCGGUGGAGCAUGUGGUUUAAUUUGAAGAUACGCGUAGAACCUUACCCACUCUUGACAUCUUCUGCAAAGCUAUAGAGAUAUAGUGGAGGUUAACAGAAUGACAGAUGGUGCAUGGUUGUCGUCAGCUCGUGUCGUGAGAUGUUAGGUUAAGUCCUGCAACGAGCGCAACCCUUUUCUUUAGUUACUAAUAUUAAGUUAAGGACUCUAGAGAUACUGCCUGGGUAAC